GACGAACGCUGGCGGCGUGCCUAAUACAUGCAAGUCGAACGCACAGUUUAUACCGUAGCUUGCUUCACCAUAGACUGUGAGUUGCGAACGGGUGAGUAACGCGUAGGUAACCUGCCUGGUAGCGGUGGAUAACUCUUGGACACGAUCGUUAAUACCGCAUAAUCUUGAUUAUUCCAUGAUAAUUGAUUGACAUAUGCUAUUGCAUCACUACCAGAUGGACCUGCGUUGUAUUAGCUAGUAGGUGAGGUAACGGCUCACCAAAGCGACGAUACAUAGCCGAACUGAGGGAGGGAUGGGCAACACGGGAACUGAGACAAGGACAAGACGCCUGCGGGAGGGAGCAGUGGGGAAUGUUACGCAAUGGGCGAAAGCCUGACGGAGCAACGCGGAGGGGGUGAUGAGGGUCUUCGGAUAGUAAAACUCUGUUAUUGGGGAAGAACAUAGGUGUAAGUAACUGUGCACAGCUUGACGGUACCUAAUCAGAAAGCCACGGCUAACUACGUG
rnacentral:rRNA from 1 species